rnacentral:sRNA from 1 species
CGCCCGUCACACCAUGAGAGUUGGUAAUACCAGAAGCACGUAUCUUAACCGUAAGGAGAGAGCGUACCAAGGUAGGAUUAGCGAUUAGGGUGAAGUCGUAACGAGGUAUCCGUACGGGAACGUGCGGAUGGAUCACCUCCUUUCUAUGGAGUUAAUCAUAGUAAAUUAGUUUAUAUAAGCUGAGCGAAUCGAUAAAACAGCUUAUGACUAAAUCUGGUUCUAUCUAGUUUUCAGAGAUUGUUUAGCAUUUAUUUAUAAAUGCUCAUUCUCUGAAAAAAAAUUGUUCUUUGAAAACUGAAUAUUAGAUGAAAAUAGACAUUUUAUUUUUCUUACGUUUCAUAUUAAAAAAAACGUAUAUAGUAACUUUAAAAUUAAAUUACUAAGAAAAACUGAAAUUUCAUAUUUAUUAGAUUAUCUAUAAUGCAAAAUAGGAUUUCUUUAUAUAGAAAGUAUAGUAAGGGCAUAUGGUGAAUGCCUUGGAAAAUGGAGCCGAUGAAGGACGUGACUACCUGCGAAAAGUUUCGGGGAGCUGGAAGUAAGCUUUGAUCCGGAAAUGUCCGAAUGGGGAAACCCACUAUGAUUAAUCUCAUAGUAUCCAUAACUGAAUACAUAGGUUAUGUGAUGGGAACCUAGGGAACUGAAACAUCUUAGUACCUAGAGGAAAAGAAAACGAAUGUGAUUCUGUAAGUAGCGGCGAGCGAAAGCGGAACAGGCCAAACCGGUCUACGGGCCGGGGUUGUAGGACUCUUGUUAGAGUUACAAAAUUAGUGUAUAGCAGAAACUGUUGGGAAGCAGUGGCGUAGAGGGUGAUACCCCCGUAUGCGAAAUGCACUAAUCUCGAGAGAGUAUCCUGAGUACGGCGGGGCACGUGAAACCCUGUCGGAAUCUACCCAGACCACUGGGUAAGCCUAAAUACUACCAUUUUACCGAUAGUGAACCA